CAUGGCCCUGUUUUUUUUUUUUUUUGAUUAAUUUUGUUGAUAUUUUAAUUCUGUCAAAUUAAUUGUGUACAUAAUUUUCGGGCACCUAAUUUAUCAUUUAGACGCUUUGAAAUUUUGCUAAUAUUAAUUAGAAUUAGACUGGAAAUGCCCUCGAAAAGAGCGUUGUUUCUGUACAUAAGUGUAAUGGAAGCAAUAGCUUGUUUAGAACUACGUGAUGUACACGCAACUCCGAGCAAAAUUCACCUGAUGGUCGAGCGUGAGUUGAACAAAAGGUGUAGAUAUAUGCCACACAAUCUGAAAUUACGCGUGUAUAAAGCCCUCAAGUAUGGUAUCCAGCGUGGCGUGCUGGAAAAAUCAUCUGAAGGUGUGCGCAUGACGGUGGGAGCGCUUUCCUUACAACGAGUCAAUCGGAAAAGAAGCAGUUACAAAAUGGAAAAACAGGACAAUGAAUCUAUCGAUAAUCGGAAAUUUAAAACUUCAAUAACGAUAAUAGAAAGAGAAGGAUCCUCGAGCAUUACUCCUGUCAGGCCGAAAUACGUUAAUAUUGAUAGCAGCGGCGAAACGGCUUCAGUUGUUAUAGAAACCCGCAGAAUACGACGCUCUACCCGUGGGAAGAAAAGAAAAUUUUAAACUCAAGAAAGGAAUCAACAUUUGGAUUUCAUAAUGGAAAUGUCAACACUAAAAUAAAUGUAUUCAAUAAAUUACAAAUUAAAUAACUCAUUCACACCUACAAAAAA